UCCAGGUGUGACAAAACUAGGGCCUGUAGGAUCUGCCUUGUUGAUAGUACUGUUAAGAAGGUAGAAACUAGGGCCUGUAGGAUCUGCCUUGUUGAUAGUGUUGUUAAGAAGGUAGAAACUAGGGCCUGUAGGACCUGCCUUGUUGAUAGUGCUGUUAAGAAAGUAGAAACUAGGGCCUGUAGGACCUGUCUUGUUGAUAGUGUUGUUAAGAAGGUAGAAACUAGGGCCUGUAGGAUCUGCCUUGUUGAUAGUACUGUUAAGAAGGUUGAAACUAGGGCCUGUAGGACCUGCCUUGUUGAUAGUGUUGUUAAGAAGGUAGAAACUAGGGCCUGUAGGACCUGUCUUGUUGAUAGUGUUGUUAAGAAGGUAGAAACUAGGGCCUGUAGGAUCUGCCUUGUUGAUAGUACUGUUAAGAAGGUUGAAACUAGGGCCUGUAGGACCUGCCUUGUUGAUAGUGUUGUUAAGAAGGUAGAAACUAGGGCCUGUAGGACCUGCCUUGUUGAUAGUGUUGUUAAGAAGGUAGAAACUAGGGCCUGUAGGAUCUGCCUUGUUGAUAGUGUUGUUAAGAAGGUAGAAACUAGGGCCUGUAGGAUCUGCCUUGUUGAUAGUGUUGUUAAGAAGGUAGAAACUAGGGCCUGUAGGAUCUGCCUUGUUGAUAGUGUUGUUAAGAAGGUAGAAACUAGGACCUGUAGGACCUGCCUUGUUGAUAGUGUUGUUAAGAAGGUAGAAACUAGGACCUGUAGGACCUGUCUUGUUGAUAGUGUUGUUAAGAAGGUAGAAACUAGGGUCUGUAGGACCUUCCUUGUUGAUAGUGUUGUUAAGAAGGUAGAAACUAGGGCCUGUAGGACCUGCCUUGUUGAUAGUGUUGUUAAGAAGGUAGAAACUAGGGCCUGUAGGACCUGCCUUGUUGAUAGUGUUGUUAAGAAGGUAGAAACUAGGGCCUGUAGGACCUGCCUUGUUGAUAGUGUUGUUAAGAAGGUAGAAACUAGGGCCUGUAGGACCUGCCUUGUUGAUAGUGUUGUUAAGAAGGUAGAAACUAGGGCCUGUAGGACCUGCCUUGUUGAUAGUGUUGUUAAAAAGGUAGAAACUAGGGCCUGUAGGACCUGCCUUGUUGAUAGUGUUGUUAAGAAGGUAGAGUAG
rnacentral:lncRNA from 1 species